GAGGACCUAUAUGUAAAUAUAGAAAUUUCAAGGACUAAACUGUUAAGUUGGAAAAAGAAAAAAAUAAAGAAAACCGAAAAUUUCGGUUUUAUCCCACCGCCUCCCACGCUCUCUCUGUUAGCGGUGGGGCAUGGGGAGAAGAAGAAGGGAGUUGAGGGAGAAGAAGAAAAGAAGAAGAAGAGGGAAAAGAAGAGAGGAGGAAGAAGAGGGAGAAGAGAAGAAAAGAAGAAGAAGAAGAAGAAGAAGAGAGGGAAGAUGGAGAGGAGAGAGAGAGAGGCAGCAGCUGCAGCUAGGG
rnacentral:lncRNA from 1 species